UACGUAGGGUCCGAGCGUUGUCCGGAAUUAUUGGGCGUAAAGGGCUCGUAGGCGGUCCGUCACGUCGGGAGUGAAAACUCAGGGCUCAACCCUGAGCGUGCUUCCGAUACGGGCGGACUAGAGGUAUGCAGGGGAGAACGAAUUCCUGGUGUAGCGGUGGAAUGCGCAGAUAUCAGGAGGAACACCGGUGGCGAAGGCGGUUCUCUGGGCAUUACCUGACGCUCAGGCGCGAAAGCUAGGGGAGCGAACAGG
rnacentral:rRNA from 1 species